rnacentral:rRNA from 1 species
AUUGAACGCUGGCGGCAUGCCUUACACAUGCAAGUCGAACGGCAGCGGACCUUCGGGUGCCGGCGAGUGGCGAACGGGUGAGUAAUAUAUCGGAACGUACCUUUCAGUGGGGGGAUAACGUAGCGAAAGUUACGCUAAUACCGCAUAUUCUGUGAGCAGGAAAGCAGGGGAUCGCAAGACCUUGCGCUGAUUGAGCGGCCGAUAUCAGAUUAGCUAGUUGGUGAGGUAAAGGCUCACCAAGGCGACGAUCUGUAGCGGGUCUGAGAGGAUGAUCCGCCACACUGGAACUGAGACACGGUCCAGACUCCUACGGGAGGCAGCAGUGGGGAAUUUUGGGCAAUGGGCGCAAGCCUGAUCCAGCCAUGCCGCGUGAGUGAAGAAGGCCU